AAAAGCUUUCUUUCCAUUAUACAUACUUUAUGUAUACAUAUGACCUAUUUAAUAUAUUAGCAAGUAAUUAGAAAAGGAUUUAUGGAGGUGAAAUUUAUACGAGAACAACUUACCGGCAUGAUUUUUGCAUGACUUCCGCCCGAUUGUAGCCACUAAUUUUGCAAAAUGAUUCAUUGCAGUAGACUAUUGGAAAGUCCACAAUUUGAGCAUUUGCCAGGAGGAAGGAGCUAUCGGCUGCGGAAGAGAUGAACAAAAUGGGGGUUUUAUAAGUCACAUGGGAAAUGUGUGCUCGUGCAAUAAACAAGGUAAAGGCAACAAGCUCUUCCUCAGCUAAAGCGGAAUUGGGAGAGACAAUUGCGACAUUCUAAGGAAAUUGUUGUCGUUAUCAUGUCGAUAAUUUAGUUGGGAGUGUGUAUGUGCGACGAAGAAAAUUAUUAUUAUGAAUAUAUUGUGAAAAUGUCACCGGAACCAUAUUAGAAGACGGGGAUAAUUAGAUUUUCUUUUACUCACUCAAACUCAUCCUCCCCUCGUUUAUUAUAUACUUUCGCACGUCGCUCCAACUCAAAAUCCAUUUUGUGUUACCAGCAAAUAUAAUUGCUUUCAGUCAGGCUAAUUUUGGUACAACAAUAAAUCUCCAUACACGGUGAAAAUUAACCAUGGGGCUGGGGGUGAGAAUAUGCCUUUUUGCGGAAGCCAAUUUCAACCAUUACGACAUUUCUCUUACCACCCUUUCUUCCCUUAUUGAGAACUUUCAAGCUCAUCGUGGUGCUGAGUUCUCACAGUCAACUAAAUAUCCCACCAUCAACUAUAUAUGUAGAUUGUUUGCCGAGGGAUGAUGCGGUGAUCACCCACUACUAUGUAUGUUCCAUCCAGCAACUUUUCGAUAAUGCUGACAACGCAUGAAGAUAACCCAAAUUUCAGGAGCAUCCCAUUCAAAAGAUAGGUCAAUGUUUGGUAAACUUGGUGAUGUUUGAGUGCUACAAUUCAAUAUUAAGCCGAUGGCAAUCAAAUAUUUACCAAAAAUGUGAAAUGUCUAUUUAUUUUUCCGAAAGCUCUUUGAAACCACACAUUGUGAAAUAUAUUGAGUGUUAUAUAUAGGUAAAGAAAAAAUACUUUUGCUAUUUUUAAUUUAUAAAAAAGCAAAAA